GACGACGCUGGCGGCGUGGAUUAGGCAUGCAAGUCGAACGGUAGGAUACCUUCGGGUAUCCGAGAGUGGCGAACGGGUGAGUAACACGUAGGUGAUCUACCCUCAAGAUUGGGACAACCCAGGGAAACUUGGGCUAAUACCGGAUGAAAGCAGCAGUGAUGUUGUUUGAAAGGUGGCGUAAGCUGCCGUUUGGGGAUGAGCCUGCGCUCUAUUAGUUAGUUGGUGAGGUAACGGCUUACCAAGGCGAUGAUAGAUAGGCGGCCUUAACGGGUGGUCGCCCACACUGGGAUUGAGAUACGGCCCAGACUCCUACGGGAGGCAGCAGUCGAGAAUAGUCUACAAUGGUCGGAAGACUGAUAGUGCGACGCCGCGUGAACGAUGAAUCCCUUCGGGGUGUAAAGUUCUUUUAUAUGUGAGCAGUGCUUCUUAUAUUAACAGUAUGGGGAGAGAGAUAUUAGCAUAUGAAUAAGCAACGGCUAACUCCGUG
rnacentral:rRNA from 1 species